CCUACGGGUGGCAGCAGUGGGGAAUAUUGGACAAUGGGGGCAACCCUGAUCCAGCCAUGCCGCGUGUGUGAAGAAGGCCCUCGGGUUGUAAAGCACUUUCAGUGAGGAAGAACGCCUGGUGGUUAAUACCCAUCAGGAAAGACAUCACUCACAGAAGAAGCACCGGCUAACUCCGUGCCAGCAGCCGCGGUAAUACGGAGGGUGCGAGCGUUAAUCGGAAUUACUGGGCGUAAAGCGCGCGUAGGUGGCUUGAUAAGCCGGUUGUGAAAGCCCCGGGCUCAACCUGGGAACGGCAUCCGGAACUGUCAAGCUAGAGUGCAGGAGAGGAAGGUAGAAUUCCCGGUGUAGCGGUGAAAUGCGUAGAGAUCGGGAGGAAUACCAGUGGCGAAGGCGGCCUUCUGGACUGACACUGACACUGAGGUGCGAAAGCGUGGGUAGCAAACAGGAUUAGCUACCCGUGUAGUC
rnacentral:rRNA from 1 species